AUAGAACCAGCCAUGAUGGAAGUACUGAAGACAUACUUUGAGAAUGCCAACAGCCUAAAUUCGGCUUGGAGUAUCAGAGAAGGAGAAGACCCGUACUUGUGGGAUAUUCGGAUUCACGGAGAUAUAAUAAGGCAUCUAAUGAACAACGAAUACUUAGAAUACCAAGUAGUACGCUACUACAGUUAUAGGUUGUUCAAGAAGCGGUAAAAUGAAAAGAUGGUUGAUAGUGUUGAACAUAGGUAUGCGGAGUCUGCAUUCAUGAUGCCAGAUGCUUGGUUCUUUGUUAAAACAAAGGAGAAAGAUGGGAUUGCCAAAUUUGUU